CGGGCCGUGGCUCAGCUUGGUAGAGCGCCUCGUUCGGGACGAGGAGGCCGCGAGUUCGAAUCUCGCCGGCCCGA
rnacentral:tRNA from 1 species